GGAAUAUUGGUCAAUGGGCGAGAGCCUGAACCAGCCAAGUCGCGUGAGGGAAGACUGCCCUAUGGGUUGUAAACCUCUUUUGACGGGGGAUAAAGUGCGGGACGUGUCCCGUAUUGCAGGUACCCGUCGAAUAAGGAUCGGCUAACUCCGUGCCAGCAGCCGCGGUAAUACGGAGGAUCCGAGCGUUAUCCGGAUUUAUUGGGUUUAAAGGGUGCGCAGGCGGCCUGUUAAGUCAGCGGUGAAAUCUCGGGGCUCAACCCCGGAACUGCCGUUGAUACUGGUAGGCUUGAGGGCGGAUAAGGAUGGUGGAAUGUGUCAUGUAGCGGUGAAAUGCUUAGAUAUGCCACAGAACACCGAUUGCGAAGGCAGCUGUCCGGGCCGUAACUGACGCUGAGGCACGAAAGCGUGGGUAUCGAACA
rnacentral:rRNA from 1 species